rnacentral:rRNA from 1 species
UACGAAGGGGGCUAGCGUUGCUCGGAAUCACUGGGCGUAAAGCGUGCGUAGACGGUUAUUUAAGUCGGGUGUGAAAGCCCCGGGCUCAACCUGGGAAUUGCAUUCGAGACUGAAUAGCUAGGGUGCGGAAGAGGGAAGCGGAAUUUCCGGUGUAGCGGUGAAAUGCGUAGAUAUCGGAAGGAACACCAGUGGCGAAAGCGGCUUCCUGGUCCAGCACCGACGUUCAGGCACGAAAGCGUGGGGAGCAAACAGG